rnacentral:lncRNA from 1 species
AGGCCCAGGGGACUGCGAGCUCGACGUCGGAGGGAGUGUCGACAGCAAUGGCCGCCUGGGCAGGCAUGGCUGAGUUGGUCUCUUCUGCUCUUGCCAUCUUUGCCGCCCCCGAGGAUGCUGUGCCUUUCCUUUUGUCGGUCUUAAGACCCUGGGCUAGCAUUCGAGCUACGUCGGCAUCCAUAUCUGCAGUGAAUGAGGAUCGACCAGCUUAACAAAAAAUAAAAAAGAAAGGGAAAGCAAAAAAAAAAAAUAAUCGGUAGGGUUGAGAGGGCUUAGGCCGACGUUAAACAAGAGUUGUUUCUUCAGA